CGUGUCGUGAGAUGUUGGGUUAAGUCCCGCAACGAGCGCAACCCUUAUUACUAGUUGCCAGCAUUCAGUUGGGCACUCUAGUGAGACUGCCGGUGACAAACCGGAGGAAGGUGGGGACGACGUCAAAUCAUCAUGCCCCUUAUGACCUGGGCUACACACGUGCUACAAUGGAUGGUACAACGAGUCGCGAAACCGCGAGGUUUAGCUAAUCUCUUAAAACCAUUCUCAGUUCGGACUGUAGGCUGCGACUCGCCUACACGAAGUCGGGAUCGCUAGUAAUCGCGGAUCAGCAUGCCGCGGUGAAUACGUUCCCGGGCCUUGUACACACCGCCCGUCACACCAUGAGAGUUUGUAACACCCAAAGCCGGUGGGGUAACCUUUUAGGAGCUAGCCGUCUAAGGUGGGACAGAUGAUUAGGGU
rnacentral:rRNA from 1 species